UACAAAUGUUACUCUCUACUCUACAACAGGUACUCUCUAUUGUACAACAGGUACUCUCUAUUGUACAACAGGUACUCACUAUUGUACAACAGGUACACUCUAUUGUACAACAAUAGUGUACAUCAGGUACUCUCUUGUACAACAUUAACGUACAACAGGUACAUACUCUCUAUUGUACAACAUUAAUGUACAACAGGUACUCUCUAUUGUACAACAGGUACUCUCUAUUGUACAACAGGUAAUCUACUGUACAAUAAGUCCUCUACUGUACAACAGGUACUCUCUACUCUACAACAGGUACUCUCUAUUGUACAACAUUAGUGUACAACAGGUACUCUCUAUUGUACAACAUUAAUUUACAUCAGGUACUCUCUAUUGUACAUCAAUGUACAUCAGGUUCUCUCUAUUGUACAACAUUAGUGUACAACUGGUACUCUCUAUUGUACAACAUUAGUGUACAUCAGGUACUCCCUAUUGUACAACAUUAGUUUACAUCAGGUACUCUCUAUUGUACAACAUUAAUGUACAACAGGUACUCUCUAUUGUACAACAUUAAUGUACAACAGGUACCCUCUACUGUACAACAGGUACACU